rnacentral:rRNA from 1 species
UACGUAGGGUGCAAGCGUUAAUCGGAAUUACUGGGCGUAAAGCGUGCGCAGGCGGUUUUGUAAGUCUGUCGUGAAAUCCCCGGGCUCAACCUGGGAAUUGCGAUGGAGACUGCAAGGCUAGAAUCUGGCAGAGGGGGGUAGAAUUCCACGUGUAGCAGUGAAAUGCGUAGAGAUGUGGAGGAACACCGAUGGCGAAGGCAGCCCCCUGGGUCAAGAUUGACGCUCAUGCACGAAAGCGUGGGAUCGAAACAGGAUUAGGA